UACGGAGGAUGCAAGCGUUAUCCGGAAUGAUUGGGCGUAAAGGGUCCGCAGGUGGCAGUGUAAGUCUGCUGUCAAAGAAUGAGGCUUAACCUCAUCAAGGCAGUGGAAACUACACAGCUAGAGUACGGUCGGGGUAGAAGGAAUUCCUGGUGUAGCGGUGAAAUGCGUAGAGAUCAGGAAGAACACCGGUGGCGAAAGCGUUCUGCUAGACCCGUACUGACACUGAGGGACGAAAGCUAGGGGAGCGAAUGGG
rnacentral:rRNA from 1 species